rnacentral:sRNA from 1 species
GGAAGGAUCAUUACCGAAUUGUCAAACACGGGUUGUUGCUGGCCCCCGAACGGGGCAUGUGCACGCUCUGUUUACACAUCCACUCACACCUGUGCACCCUCUGUAGUUCUGUGGACCGGGAGACAUUGUCUUCCUUCCGUAGCUCUACGUCUUUACACACACACCGUAGCAAUGUCUCAUGGAAUGUUUUUUCGCGUUUAACGCAAUACAAUACAACUUUCAGCAACGGAUCUCUUGGCUCUCGCAUCGAUGAAGAACGCAGCGAAAUGCGAUAAGUAAUGUGAAUUGCAGAAUUCAGUGAAUCAUCGAAUCUUUGAACGCACCUUGCGCCCCUUGGUUAUUCCUCGGAGCAUGCCUGUUUGAGUAUCAUGAACACCUCAACUCUCAUGGUCUUCCAUGAUGAGCUUGGACUUUGGGGGUUUGCUGGCCUUGUGGCCGGCUCCUCUCAAAUGAAUCAGCUUGCCAGUGUUUGGCGGCGUCACGGGUGUGAUAACUAUCUACGCUCGCGGUUGUCCGUCAGGUAACCCUCAGCGAUGAAGGUUCAUUGGGGCUCAUAAACGUCUCUCCCCAGCGAGGACAACUUUUGAACGUUCGAUCUCAAAUCAGG